rnacentral:rRNA from 1 species
UAGGGAAUCUUCGGCAAUGGGGGCAACCCUGACCGAGCAACGCCGCGUGAGUGAAGAAGGUUUUCGGAUCGUAAAGCUCUGUUGUAAGAGAAGAACGUGUGUGAGAGUGGAAAGUUCACACAGUGACGGUAACUUACCAGAAAGGGACGGCUAACUACGUGCCAGCAGCCGCGGUAAUACGUAGGUCCCGAGCGUCGUCCGGAUUUAUUGGGCGUAAAGCGAGCGCAGGCGGUUUAAUAAGUCUGAAGUUAAAGGCAGUGGCUUAACCAUUGUUCGCUUUGGAAACUGUUAAACUUGAGUGCAGAAGGGGAGAGUGGAAUUCCAUGUGUAGCGGUGAAAUGCGUAGAUAUAUGGAGGAACACCGGUGGCGAAAGCGGCUCUCUGGUCUGUAACUGACGCUGAGGCUCGAAAGCGUGGGGAGCAAACAGG